AUGUUAGGUUAGAUCAUGUGUUAGGCUCUGUUUUCAUGUGUAAACGAAUCUGUUUAUAGAAAUCCUACAGCCAAGAAUUAUGUUAGUGUUACAUCUUUUUAUAGUUUCGUAUUGGGUGGUUUUCUUUGGUAGCAUGCUAUCCUGGUUAGAUCACGUUCAUACACGCUGAAAAAUUUCGGUUUCAACUGAGGUCGUUGCUAUGUGUCUCGUUAUGUUUAUAUCGAAAUAUUAAAUAGGCUAAGUCAAGUUGUAAGAAGAUUAAAAUGUACUAUGUUCAGUUUUCUUGAUAAUAGGAGUUAAUAUAUCACUAUGUGCCUAAGUCAUGUAUUAGAGAAGCUAUUUGUUAUUCACGUAGUAGCAUUGUGCGUCUAUAUCUGUUCACAUUUUUUUUUUGACAUUUCACUUUGCCCAUUUUCCAUGAGAUAUAUGCCAUAUUGUAGUUGUGUUGAUUACCUGUUGGUAUCAUAGCUAGAUUCCUUUACUGCAAAUUGCUUUUCAUCUUCACUUUUGUUAUUUUCAUAGUUCCACAUUGAUUGCUGUAUUAUUCUUCAGAGCAUAUUCUUUUCCUUUUUGUGGUCAUAUUCUUUUGUAAUUCAGAUAUAGUCUGUUUUUCUCAUGAACUAGUAAUUUAUUGCAUUGCUUUUAGUCUCUA